rnacentral:rRNA from 1 species
GUCGAGCGGAGUUGAUUUGGAAGCUUGCUUCCAAAUCAANUUAGCGGCGGACGGGUGAGUAACACGUAGGUAACCUGCCUGUAAGACUGGGAUAACUACCGGAAACGGUAGCUAAUACCGGAUAAUUUGUUUCUUCUCAUGGAGAGACACUGAAAGGCGGAGUAAUCUGCCACUUAUAGAUGGGCCUGCGGCGCAUUAGCUAGUUGGUGAGGUAAUGGCUCACCAAGGCGACGAUGCGUAGCCGACCUGAGAGGGUGAACGGCCACACUGGGACUGAGACACGGCCCAGACUCCUACGGGAGGCAGCAGUAGGGAAUCUUCCGCAAUGGACGAAAGUCUGACGGAGCAAUGCCGCGUGAGUGAUGAAGGUUUUCGGAUCGUAAAGCUCUGUUGCCAGGGAAGAAUGCUUGGGAGAGUAACUGCUCUCAAGGUGACGGUACCUGAGAAGAAAGCCCCGGCUAACUACGUGCCAGCAGCCGCGGUAAUACGUAGGGGGCAAGCGUUGUCCGGAAUUAUUGGGCGUAAAGCGCGCGCAGGCGGUCAUUUAAGUUUGGUGUUUAAUCCCGGGGCUCAACCCCGGGUCGCACUGAAAACUGGGUGACUUGAGUACAGAAGAGGAGAGUGGAAUUCCACGUGUAGCGGUGAAAUGCGUAGAUAUGUGGAGGAACACCAGUGGCGAAGGCGACUCUCUGGGCUGUAACUGACGCUGAGGCGCG